GGCUCAGCGGGUUCUGGGCAUCCUCACCCCCGAGUGCAAACCCAGUCUCAGGAGCUACUCGGGACUCUCUUGACCAAGCAGGCAGACCCUGAGCGGAACCAUAACUGAGUGGAAUUUGGGGACUGUGGGUGGAUCUUCCUGUGCUGACUACUCUUGGCUACCCUUUAGGCUGUACAUUUCUACCGCCGUGGACAAAUAAUAAUAGCCUCAAGCCAACCUUGAGACACUUAACAAUGUGGUACAUCCGCCAGCCAGUCCUCUGGAGCAUCCUAAGUCUAUUUCAGUAAUUCCUAAGAAAACUGAGAAUAAAGCGCUUGAAUUUUAAUCCCA